rnacentral:sRNA from 1 species
CGUCGUCGUCGUCGUCGUCGUCGUCGUCGUCGUCGUCGUCGUCGUCGUCGUCGUCGUCGUCGUCGUCGUCGUCGUCGUCGUCGUCGUCGUCGUCGUCGUCGUCGUCGUCGUCGUCGUCGUCGUCGUCGUCGUCGUCGUCGUCGUCGUCGUCGUCGUCGUCGUCGUCGUCGUCGUCGUCGUCGUCGUCGUC